rnacentral:rRNA from 1 species
GAUGAACGCUGGCGGCGUGCCUAAUACAUGCAAGUCGAGCGAACAGAUGAGGAGCUUGCUCCUCUGACGUUAGCGGCGGACGGGUGAGUAACACGUGGAUAACCUACCUAUAAGACUGGGAUAACUUCGGGAAACCGGAGCUAAUACCGGAUAAUAUAUUGAACUGCAUGGUUCAAUAGUGAAAGACGGUUUUGCUGUCACUUAUAGAUGGAUCCGCGCCGCAUUAGCUAGUUGGUAAGGUAACGGCUUACCAAGGCAACGAUGCGUAGCCGACCUGAGAGGGUGAUCGGCCACACUGGAACUGAGACCCGGUCCAGACUCCUACGGGAGGAAGCAGUAGGGAAUCUUCCGCAAUGGGCGAAAGCCUGACGGAGCAACGCCGCGUGAGUGAUGAAGGUCUUCGGAUCGUAAACCUCUGUUAUUAGGGAAGAACAAAUGUGUAAGUAACUAUGCACGUCUUGACGGUACCUAAUCAGAAAGCCACGGCUAACUACGUG